AGAUUUGGCUCCAGCUAAAGAGCUUCCAUAGUGCUGUAAAAGUAAUAUGGGGGCUAGCAGGAAAGAGAAGACAUUAAUGGUCUUACCUGGGCUGGAUCCGGAGUCCCAACAUACUGACCUGCCAAGGGGCAACAGUAGAGGGACUAUUGCAGGUGGAGUGGGAUGAUUUCUUACUGAGCCAUGCUCUACAGGAGGGAAUUCAUCGUCCUGAAUAAAUCUCCUCUAGAACCCAUGGCUUGGGAGGUCACUAGCUACGGGAGGAACUUAAUCGUUUUGCCAAAUGGUCCUGUUGCCAAAGUUCCUUCUAAAUCUUUAUGUCUAUAUGCAUAUAUUGUGCUGCUCUCAAUGUUGGUGAGAGAGGCUUUUUCCAGUGGGCAGCAGUUAAUGCAGAGACCCUUAACCUAACAACGCACUGAGGAUAGGCAACGGUGAGGGCUCAGCAGUAGACAGGACAUUGAUAUCGACGACCUCUUUCCCAGGAAAGUUCAGGGAACAUCACCGAGAAAAGGAGCAAAGAGGAAGAACCGGAGGAUGGGAAGGAGUACUGAGGUUGCUGCACUAGAUAGUAGAUGCAAGCCAGAUAGUACUACACACGGAAAUUCACAAAGAAAACGAGCGAGCAAGCACGUGAUUAAUAAUCACCUUCCCUUGUCAUCCAAGGCACAAAGUUAAAACUAAAAGACAGUAUUUUUACCUACCAAAUUAUCAAAAACAUGUUUAAAAUAUUAUAUUCAUGUUGUCAAGAAGACCUCAAAAUUAUACUUUUACAUGUCACUGUGGGUUUUACUUUUAUAGGUAAGAAUGUGGCAACACAUAUUUGCCAGAACUUUUUUUUUUUAAAUACACACAGACAUACACACCGUAGCAGUAGGGUGGGGGGGGGGUGAUCAAAGAAAGAUUUCUAAUAAAGCACCAGGAAAAAUAGUGAAGAUGAAAAACUAUGAAAUGAAGAAAUAGAUUUGUUAAUAUAAACUUUACUGUAACAAUGUAUCCUUCUUUGGGGAAAUAUUUGGAGACACUGCAAAAACACAUUUAAUGUUUUAUCGGCUGAAAAAUAUAGAAAAAAGUCUUAAUUUUAUGAAAAGAAAAUAAAGAUGUUUCCAGAGAGGAACUAACUAAAUUUAUCCAAGACACUGUUGACUUCACUUUCCCAAGAUUCCUUGGCUUCAGGCAGGAAGAUUCUCCACAUAAAUUCUAUUGCAUCCUCAUUCCAAUGUCUUUAGACUUUGAGCCAUGAGAAAUUAUGUAAAAUACCCAGUGAAAUACCUUAACUUCCACCAUAUGCAAAGAUCUACAGCAAUAAGAACAAAAUAAGAAAAGAGCUCCUGUAGGGUUAGUGUCCCAAAGUCAAAAACCAGAAGAGCUAUGAUCCCAGCAGGGGCCAUCAUUACCAUCUGUCUUAUGCUUAGCCUGCUUUCUUAUAGAACCCAGGUCCACAAGCCCAUGGGUAGAACCACCCACAAUGGGUUGGGCCAGCCCCAGUCAAUCACUACUGAAGAGAAUACCUUAUAGGCCUGCCUACAACCUGAUCUUAUGAAGAUAUUUUCUUAAUUGAGUUUCACUCCUCUCAGAUGACUUUAGCCUGUGACAAUUUGACAUAAAAUUACCUAGAACACUCUAUGUGGUGGUUUGAAUAUGCUUGGGAAGUGGUGCUAUUAGGAGGUGUGGCCUUGUUGGAGUAGGUGUGGCCUUGCUGGAGGAAGUG
rnacentral:lncRNA from 1 species